AACCGAUGCGAAAUUAAUUUUUUCGCACCGGUUCAAAUCGGUGCGAAUUACGAAAUAUUAUAAAAAAAUAAAAAAAAAAAGGGUGGAAGGGAUUUCGCAUCGGUUUAGUCCAAACUGGUGCGAAAUAGUGUUUUAGCACCGAUUCAAACCGGUGCGAAAUUAAAAAAAAAAAAACCGGGCUGCUAUAUCUCUCUAAUCCGCCUCUUUAUUUCAUUCUUUCCCUGGUUCUGCCCUCCUUCUCUCUCAUCUUUGGUUCUGCCCUCAUCUCUCCUUCCUCUUUCGUUCCCAUCUCGUUCUUCUUUCAUCUCUCGUGUACUGUGAGGUCUUCGAUUUUCGUUCGAAUCUUGUUCGAGUUAAAGCAAGUGGUGAACGAUUGAAGUGCGAUCUAAAUCCUCCAUUGAAGUGCCUUCUUAGCUCUCUCUCCUCCUCUAUGAAGCAGCUUUUGAGUUUCAGAAUUUGGAUUCUUCAGAACCAUCAUCGCAUAGACAACGGGCCGGAGGAGGAGGGAUUUGUUUUUGAGGUACUCUGAAAAGCACUUUAAUGGUGCUUAUGAAUUCAGGAUUGGUGUGCUUCAUUGUUAUUGGUAUUGCUCUUCAAGUUCAUGCUGCUUGUAGUUCAUUGUCGUAAGUUCGAUGCCUGUUGAUUGCUGAUUCUGAAUGGACACAGGAUGCAAGGGAGGUCUCAGCCCCGAUUCCAGAAGGACACGGUGGCUGAGGUUGCACAGCCUCUUGCUGAUGGUAUAGAUGUAGGUAUAGAAUUUAAACCUGCUGAACAUCCAGUUGAGCCUCUUGACUAUGAUAAACCCGUCCAGUGCCCAUUGCCAGAACCUUUUAUUAUUCUAAAUGCAGGUUAUGCCAUUGUAGGGAUAGGAGCACCAUGGAUAAUUCGUGGAAGAGGGAUCAUUGCAAAUGGUUGUAUCAGCUGAAGAUCAAUGCUCCUGUGUAGUUGUUUCUGUUCUUUUGAUGUUAGCUGUCAGGCUGUGUCUGCUCAGCUGCUGUUGCCGUGAGCUGCUGUUUCUGCUACUGUGCUGUGUCUGUUGUGCUGUGAUGUCGAGUUUUCCUGUGUUGAUGUGAUGCGCUGCUGUGUUGGUGUUGCUGUUUGCUUCCUUUUGUAGUGCUGUGUUGCUGUGGGGUGAUGUGAUGCUGAGUUGAUGUGCUUGCUCUGCUGCUUUGGUGUUGCGCUGUGUUUUGUUAUUUUUGUAGCCUGUUGAGCUGCUUAGUUUGGGUUGUUUAAUUUAGUUAGAUGUUUGCUGUUCAUUAGAACAGGUUUUUAGAGUAUUAGAAGUAAAAUUCUGUAACUUUAUAUAUAUGUUAGUGUUUAUAUAUCAAUUUAAGUG